GACGAACCGUGCGAACGUUGUUCGGAAUUAUUGGGCGUAAAGGGCGCGUAGGCGGCCAUUCAAGUGACGGGUGAAAGCCCUCGGCUUAACCGAGGAACUGCCUGUCAGACUGGAUGGCUUGAGACCGGGAGAGGUGAGUGGAAUUCCCAGUGUAGCGGUGAAAUGCGUAGAUAUUGGGAGGAACACCAGUGGCGAAGGCGGCUCACUGGACCGGAACUGACGCUGAGGCGCGAAAGCGUGGGGAGCAAACAGG
rnacentral:rRNA from 1 species